GACGAACGCUGGCGGCGUGCUUAACACAUGCAAGUCGAACGAGUGGCGAACGGGUGAGUAACGCAUCGGAACGUACCGAGUAAUGGGGGAUAACUGUCCGAAAGGACAGCUAAUACCGCAUAUUAUUCGAGCGGCCGAUGUCUGAUGAGCUGGUUGGCGGGGUAAAGGCCCACCAAGGCGACGAUCAGUAGCGGGUCUGAGAGGAUGAUCCGCCACACUGGGACUGAGACACGGCCCAGACUCCUACGGGAGGCAGCAGUGGGGAAUUUUGGACAAUGGGCGCAAGCCUGAUCCAGCCAUGCCGCGUGUCUGAAGAAGGCCUUCGGGUUGUAAAGCACUUUAAGUUGGGAGGCGUUACCAACAGAAUAAGCACCGGCUAACUUCGUGCCAGCCGCCGCGGUAAUAC
rnacentral:rRNA from 1 species